AUUGAACGCUGGCGGCAUGCCUUACACAUGCAAGUCGAACGGCAGCAUGGAGAGCUUGCUCUCUGGUGGCGAGUGGCGAACGGGUGAGUAAUGCAUCGGAACGUACCGUGUAAUGGGGGAUAACGUAGCGAAAGUUACGCUAAUACCGCAUACGACCUGAGGGUGAAAGCAGGGGAUCGCAAGACCUUGCGUUAUACGAGCGGCCGAUGACAGAUUAGCUAGUUGGUGAGGUAAGGGCUCACCAAGGCGACGAUCUGUAGCGGGUCUGAGAGGAUGAUCCGCCACACUGGGACUGAGACACGGCCCAGACUCCUACGGGAGGCAGCAGUGGGGAAUUUUGGACAGUGGGGGCAACCCUGAUCCAGCCAUGCCGCGUGAGUGAAGAAGGCCUUCGGGUUGUAAAGCUCUUUCGGCCGGGAAGAAAUCGCACAGGCUAAUACUCUGUGUGGAUGACGGUACCGGCAUAAGAAGCACCGGCUAACUACGUGCCAGCAGCCGCAGUAA
rnacentral:rRNA from 1 species